rnacentral:rRNA from 1 species
UACGGAGGGGGCUAGCGUUAUUCGGAAUUACUGGGCGUAAAGCGCACGUAGGCGGCUUUGCAAGUUAGAGGUGAAAGCCUGGAGCUCAACUCCAGAACUGCCUUUAAAACUGCAUCGCUUGAAUCCAGGAGAGGUGAGUGGAAUUCCGAGUGUAGAGGUGAAAUUCGUAGAUAUUCGGAAGAACACCAGUGGCGAAGGCGGCUCACUGGACUGGGUAUUGACGCUGAGGUGCGAAAGCGUGGGGAGCAAACAGG